UACGUAGGGUGCGAGCGUUGUCCGGAAUUAUUGGGCGUAAAGAGCUCGUAGGCGGCCUGUCGCGUCGGAUGUGAAAGCCCGGGGCUUAACCCCGGGUCUGCAUUCGAUACGGGCAGGCUGGAGUGUGGUAGGGGAGAUCGGAAUUCCUGGUGUAGCGGUGAAAUGCGCAGAUAUCAGGAAGAACCCCCGUGGCGAAGGCGGCGCUCUGGGACGGUACUGACGCUGAGACGCGAAAGCGUGGGGAGCGAACAGG
rnacentral:rRNA from 1 species